GUGCCAGCAGCAGCGGUAAUACGAAGGGGCUAGCGUUACUCGGAAUUACUGGGCGUAAAGGGCGCGUAGGCGGCGUUCCAAGUUAGGCGUGAAAGUCCUGGGCUCAACCUGGGAACUGCGCUUAAGACUGGAGUGCUUGAGGAUGGAAGAGGGUUGUGGAAUUCCCAGUGUAGAGGUGAAAUUCGUAGAUAUUGGGAAGAACACCGGUGGCGAAGGCGGCAACCUGGUCCAUUACUGACGCUGAGGCGCGAUAGCGUGGGAGCAAACAGGAUUAGAUACCCUGGUAGUCCACGCCGUAAACGAUGUGCGCUGGAUGUUGGGUUCCUAGAACUUCAGUGUCGUAGCUAACGCGAUAGCGCACCGCCUGGGAGUACGGCCGCAAGGUUGAAACUCAAAGGA
rnacentral:rRNA from 1 species